rnacentral:rRNA from 1 species
CUCGUAGGCGGCUUGUCGCGUCUGCUGUGAAAUCCUGGGGCUUAACUCUGGGCGUGCAGUGGGUACGGGCAGGCUAGAGUGCGGUAGGGGUGAUUGGAAUUCCUGGUGUAGCGAUGGAAUGCGCAGAUAUCAGGAGGAACACCGAUGGCGAAGGCAGGUCACUGGGCCGUUACUGACGCUGAGGAGCGAAAGCAUGGGGAGCGAACA